rnacentral:lncRNA from 1 species
UCCAUUGUUACUUAUUGACUAGAUUUUAUCCAAUGCAAUGCAUGUAAGUCUAAUAUUUGUGGAGACUUGGAAAGCCUCUCUCUUAUAAUGUGGAUCGCUAUCGAGGUAUAUUUUUUUUUAUUAAAAAAUUAAUAUUAUUUAAAAAAGCAUAAUUAUUAUGUAAAGACUUAAUUUUCAUGAAGUCGUUAUUUUGUGCUGUCCAACUCUUAAGAGUAACACAUCC